UCAGUCCCAGUCAGCACACAGCAUGGACAUGAGGACCACUGCUCAGCUCCUGGGGCUCCUGCUGCUCUGCCUUCCAGGUGCCAGAUGUGACAUCCAGAUCACCCAGUCUCCAUCCUCCCUGUCUGCAUCUCCAGGAGACACUGUCACCAUCUCCUGCAAAGCCAGUCAGGGUAUUAGCAAUAAUUUAAACUGGUAUCAGCAGAAACCAGAAAAAGCCCCAAAGCCUCUGAUCAUUUACACCUCAAAGUUGGCCUCUGGGGUCCCAUCCAGAUUCAGUAGCAGUGGAUCUGGGACAGAUUAUUCUCUCACCAUCAGCAGCCUUCAACCUGAAGAUUUUGCCACUUAUUACUGUGAGCAGUACGAUAAGUUUCCAUGGCUGGCAGGGCCAGAGAGGGCCUUAGCAUUUCUUUAG